rnacentral:tRNA from 1 species
GUUAUUUUGGCAGAUUAGUGUGAUAGAUUUAGAAUCUAUGGAAGUAAAUUUUAUUUACAAAUAAUA